UUUUUAAGAACACAUCUGCAGAUAAUAAUUGCUGUAAGCCAGUUGAUAGUGGAUGUAGCACUAAGUGGAGGAUCGAGAUUUCAGGAGUCUUUAUUCAUUAUCAAUAACUUUACAAACAGUGACAGACCUAUGAAGAAGUCAAAGACUUGACCGAGAGAAUCCGUACUGUUCUUAUGGCCGCAGCUCAAAUGAAGGAGCAUGAGAAGGACCCCGAAAUGCUAAUUGAUCUCCAGUAUAGCUUAGCCAAGUCCUACACAAGUAUCUCAGAGCUCAGGAAAACCUGGCUUGGUAGCAUGGCCAAGAUUCAUAUAAAAAAUGGAGAUUUUUCAGAGGCAGCAAUGUGUUAUGUCCACAUAGCAGUUUUGGUUGCAGAGUUUCUUUAUCAAAAAAGU